UACAGAGGUCCCAAGCGUUGUUCGGAUUCACUGGGCGUAAAGGGUGCGUAGGUGGUUGGGUAAGUCUGAUGUGAAAUCUCCGGGCUCAACCCGGAAAUGGCAUUGGAUACUAGCCAGCUGGAGGGUCGGAGGGGGGACUGGAAUUCUUGGUGUAGCAGUGAAAUGCGUAGAUAUCAAGAGGAACACCAGUGGCGAAGGCGAGUCCCUGGACGACUCCUGACACUGAGGCACGAAAGCUAGGGGAGCAAACAGG
rnacentral:rRNA from 1 species